CACGUAGGAGGCAAACGUUAUCCGGAUUUACUGGGCGUAAAGCGCGUGUAGGUGGUUCUGUAAGUAGGGCGUUAAAGCUCCCGGCUCAACUGGGAGAGGCCGUUCUAAACUGCAGAGCUAGAGGAUGGUAGAGGGAGGUGGAAUUCCGGGUGUAGCGGUGGAAUGCGCAGAUAUCCGGAGGAACACCAGUGGCGAAAGCGGCCUCCUGGUCCAUUCCUGACACUCAGAUGCGAAAGCUAGGGUAGCAAACGGGAUUAGAUACCCGGUACGGUCCUCGAG
rnacentral:rRNA from 1 species